rnacentral:rRNA from 1 species
AGAACGAACGCUGGCGGCACGCCUAACACAUGCAAGUCGAGCGCCCAGCAAUGGGAGCGGCGGACGGGUGAGUAACACGUGGGAACAUGCCUUUCGGCACGGAACAACUGCGGGAAACUGCAGCUAAUGCCGUAUACGCCCUUACGGGGAAAGAUUUAUCGCCAAUAGAUCAGCCCGCGUAGGAUUAGCUAGUUGGUGAGGUAAUGGCUCACCAAGGCUCCGAUCCUUAGCUGUUCUGAGAGGAAGAUCAGCCACACUGGGACUGAGACACGGCCCAGACUCCUACGGGAGGCAGCAGUUGGGAAUCUUGGACAAUGGGGGAAACCCUGAUCCAGCCAUGCCGCGUGAGUGAUGAAGGCCUUCGGGUGUAAACUCUUUCGCGCACGACGAUAAUGACGGUAGUGCGAGAAGAAGCUCCGGCUAACUUCGUGCCAGCAGCCGC